UACGGAGGGUGCGAGCGUUGUUCGGAAUUAUUGGGCGUAAAGCGCGUGUAGGCGGUUUUUUAAGUCUGAUGUGAAAGCCCCGGGCUCAACCUGGGAAGUGCAUUGGAAACUGGGAGACUUGAAUACGGGAGAGGGUAGUGGAAUUCCUAGUGUAGGAGUGAAAUCCGUAGAUAUUAGGAGGAACACCGGUGGCGAAGGCGGCUACCUGGACCGAUAUUGACGCUGAGACGCGAAAGCGUGGGGAGCAAACAGG
rnacentral:rRNA from 1 species